CUCGUAGGCGGCCAACUAAGUCAGACGUGAAAUCCCUCGGCUUAACCGGGGAACUGCGUCUGAUACUGGAUGGCUUGAGUUUGGGAGAGGGAUGCGGAAUUCCAGGUGUAGCGGUGAAAUGCGUAGAUAUCUGGAGGAACACCGGUGGCGAAGGCGGCAUCCUGGACCAACACUGACGCUGAGUGAGCGAAAGCCAGGGGAGCAAGCG
rnacentral:rRNA from 1 species